UACGUAGGAGGCAAGCGUUGUCCGGAAUCACUGGGCGUAAAGAGCGUGUAGGCGGUCUGCCAAGUCUGUUGUGAAAGCCCACGGCUCAACCGUGGAGGGUCAUUGGAAACUGGGGGAACUUGAGUACAGAAGAGGAAAGCGGAAUUCCACGUGUAGCGGUGAAAUGCGUAGAGAUGUGGAGGAACACCAGUGGCGAAGGCGGCUUUCUGGUCUGUAACUGACGCUGAGGCGCGAAAGCGUGGGGAGCAAACAGG
rnacentral:rRNA from 1 species